GACGAACGCUGGCGGCGUGCUUAACACAUGCAAGUCGAACGGAAAGGCCCUGCUUUUGUGGGGUGCUCGGGUGGCGAACGGGUGAGUAACACGUGAGUAACCUGCCCUUGACUUUGGGAUAACUUCAGGAAACUGGGGCUAAUACCGGAUAGGAGCUCCUGCUGCAUGGUGGGGGUUGGAAAGUUUCGGCGGUUGGGGAUGGACUCGCGGCUUAUCAGCUUGUUGGUGGGGUAGUGGCUUACCAAGGCUUUGACGGGUAGCCGGCCUGAGAGGGUGACCGGCCACAUUGGGACUGAGAUACGGCCCAGACUCCUACGGGAGGCAGCAGUGGGGAAUAUUGCACAAUGGGCGGAAGCCUGAUGCAGCAACGCCGCGUGCGGGAUGACGGCCUUCGGGUUGUAAACCGCUUUCGCCUGUGACGAAGCGUGAGUGACGGUAAUGGGUAAAGAAGCACCGGCGAACUACGU
rnacentral:rRNA from 1 species